rnacentral:rRNA from 1 species
UUAGUGGCGGACGGGUGAGUAACGCGUGGGUAACCUGCCUUACACAGGGGGAUAACACUUAGAAAUAGGUGCUAAAACCGCAUAAGCGCACAGCUUUGCAUGAAGCGGUGUGAAAAACUCCGGUGGUGUAAGAUGGACCCGCGUCUGAUUAGCUUGUUGGCGGGGUAACGGCCCACCAAGGCGACGAUCAGUAGCCGGCCUGAGAGGGCGGACGGCCACAUUGGGACUGAGACACGGCCCAGACUCCUACGGAAGGCAGCAG